UGGUUUCAUUUGUCAAACCCCAACUCUACUCCACCUUCUCUCUUCUUUUUCAAAAAUUUGAAUCGUACAAAAUUUCAUUUAGUGCCUUCAAAUUGUUCCGGGUGUCGAGGGCUUCCGUUUGAACCCACCAUCUCACUGUUUCAUCGAGUAGGUCUCUCGGUGCCCUAAUUGCUAGGAGUACUUUAGAAGCGUUGAGUGAGCUUGUUGUUGCUUGUUUCCAGGUAAGAGGAGAAUGAGGUCUUUGUGGAGAACACUCGGGAGGAGAAUGAAGACGCAACUGCUUAGUUCCCCUUGGAAUUCCAUAGCUCCUAAUGUUAUUCAGAUACUCUUUUUUUCUCCUGUAUUUUGAAAAACUUUAGUAUUUCCACGUUUUUAAUUUUUUUACGCAUGUGAAUGACGGUAAUCCUAAACUAAACUCCUUAAUUAUUCUUGACUGU